rnacentral:sRNA from 1 species
AGAUGUGAGAGUGAUCAGGCUGGCUAGGCCAGUGACCUCCAUCCCUCACUGCUCCAUGUGCAUCAUGCUUGGUCAAAGAGGAUGACCUUCCCUAAACAGAGGAUGGCUUUCUGUCAAGGGUAUACAGGCAGCUCUGCUCCCCUGCUGGAACCUCUAAGCAACCUCUCAAGAAAGAACACUGCACACGUUCAGUACAGACAAGACCUUUAUAGGGCUGUGAUCCUGCUGUUGUUUGAACCU